rnacentral:lncRNA from 1 species
UUUUUCACCCUUUAUUAAUGUUAGAAUUCUACAUGUAAUUAAACAAAUCUAUCAAUGAACCAAAUGAAUAGGAUAUUUGAUAUAUAUGACUAAUAUACUACCAAGAGUGAUAUGCAAAGGAAUAUGUAGUAAAAAUAUGAGCACAGUCUUCAACAUACAUGGAACAUAGAUCGCAAGUCUGUCUACGAGAUAGAAAAACUUUGUAAUGAGCAAGAUUUUGCUUUGUAUGCAAACAUUCCCAAAUAAGUUGCCACCAAAAAUAACAUACCCG